GAUGAACGCUAGCGGCAGGCUUAACACAUGCAAGUCGAGGGGUAGAGGUUGCUUGCAACCUUGAGACCGGCGCACGGGUGCGUAACGCGUAUGCAACCUACCUUUUACAGAGGGAUAGCCCAGAGAAAUUUGGAUUAAUACCUCAUAGUAUAUAACCUUCGCAUGUUGGUUAUAUUAAAGUUCCAACGGUAAAAGAUGGGCAUGCGUCCUAUUAGCUAGAUGGUAAGGUAACGGCUUACCAUGGCAACGAUAGGUAGGGGUCCUGGGAGGGAGAUCCCCCACACUGGUACUGAGACACGGACCAGACUCCUACGGGAGGCAGCAGCGAGGAAUAUUGGACAAUGGGCGCAAGCCUGAUCCAGCCAUGCCGCGUGCAGGAAGAAGCAUCUAUGGUGUGUAAACUGCUUUUGUACAGGAAGAAACACCCCGACGUGUCGGGGCUUGACGGUACUGUAAGAAUAAGCACCGGCUAACUCCGUGCCAGCCGCCGCGGUAAAAC
rnacentral:rRNA from 1 species